rnacentral:rRNA from 1 species
ACGGGAGGGCAGCAGUGAGGAAUAUUGGUCAAUGGGCGAGAGCUUGAACCAGCCAAGUCGCGUGCGGGACGAAAGCCCUACGGGUCGUAAACCGCUUUUAUACGGGAAUAAAGUGCGCCACGCGUGGCGUUUUGCAGGUACCGUAGGAAUAAGGAUCGGCUAACUCCGUGCCAGCAGCCGCGGUAAUACGGAGGAUGCGAGCGUUAUCCGGAUUUAUUGGGUUUAAAGGGUGCGUAGGCGGACUGUUAAGUCAGCGGUGAAAUACCACGGCUCAACCGUGGGGCUGCCGUUGAUACUGGCGGUCUGGAGUACGAUCGGCGCCGGCGGAAUGUGUCAUGUAGCGGUGAAAUGCAUAGAUAUGACACAGAACACCGAUCGCGAAGGCAGCUGGCGAGAACGAUACUGACGCUGAGGCACGAAGGCGCGGGGAUCAAACAGGAUUAGAUACCCUGGUA